rnacentral:rRNA from 1 species
UACGAAGGGAGCUAGCGUUGUUCGGAAUCACUAGGCGUAAAGCGCACGUAGGCGGAUGUGUCAGUCAGGGGUGAAAUCCCGGAGCUCAACUUCGGAACUGCCCUUGAUACAGCACGUCUUGAGUCCGAUAGAGGUGGGUGGAAUUCCUAGUGUAGAGGUGAAAUUCGUAGAUAUUAGGAAGAACACCGGUGGCGAAGGCGGCCCACUGGAUCGGUACUGACGCUGAGGUGCGAAAGCGUGGGGAGCAAACAGG